rnacentral:rRNA from 1 species
CAGUAGCCGCGGGAAUACGGAGGGUGCAAGCGUUAAUCGGAAUUACUGGGCGUAAAGCGCACGCAGGCGGUCUGUCAAGUCAGAUGUGAAAUCCCCGGGCUUAACCUGGGAACUGCAUUUGAAACUGGCAGGCUAGAGUCUUGUAGAGGGGGGUAGAAUUCCAGGUGUAGCGGUGAAAUGCGUAGAGAUCUGGAGGAAUACCGGUGGCGAAGGCGGCCCCCUGGACAAAGACUGACGCUCAGGUGCGAAAGCGUGGGGAGCAAACAGGAUUAGAUACCCGGGUAGUCCCUGUCUCUUAUAC